rnacentral:rRNA from 1 species
GGAUAACCUACCCUUAGGACCGGGAUAACCCUGGGAAACUGGGGCUAAUACUGGAUAGGCAAUUAUUCCUGCAAUGGUUUUUUGUUUAAAUGUUUUUUCGCCUAAGGAUGGGUCUGCGGCCGAUUAGGUAGUUGGUUAGGUAAUGGCUUACCAAGCCGUUGAUCGGUACGGGUUGUGAGAGCAAGAGCCCGGAGAUGGAACCUGAGACAAGGUUCCAGGCCCUACGGGGUGCAGCAGGCGCGAAACCUCCGCAAUGUGAGAAAUCGCGACGGGGGGAUCCCAAGUGCCAUUCUUAACGGAAUGGCUUUUCAUUAGUGUAAAGAGCUUUUGGAAUAAGAGCUGGGCAAGACCGGUGCCAGCCGCCGCGGUAACACCGGCAGCUCUAGUGGUAACAAUUUUUAUUGGGCCUAAAGCGUCCGUAGCCGGUUUAAUAAGUCUCUGGUGAAAUCCUGUAGCUUAACUGUGGGAAUUGCUGGAGAUACUAUUAGACUUGAGACCGGGAGAGGUUAGAGGUACUCCCAGGGUAGAGGUGAAAUUCUGUAAUCCUGGGAGGACCGCCUGUUGCGAAGGCGUCUAACUGGAACGGUUCUGACGGUGAGGGACGAAAGUUAGGGGCGCGAACCGGAUUAGAUACCCGGGUAGUCCUAACUGUAAACGAUGCGGACUUGGUGUUGGGGUGGCUUUGAGCU